GACGAACGCUGGCGGCGUGCUUAACACAUGCAAGUCGAACGGAAAGGCCCUGCUUUUGUGGGGUGCUCGAGUGGCGAACGGGUGAGUAACACGUGAGUAACCUGCCCUUGACUUUGGGAUAACUUCAGGAAACUGGGGCUAAUACCGGAUAGGAGCUCCUGCUGCAUGGUGGGGGUUGGAAAGUUUCGGCGGUUGGGGAUGGACUCGCGGCUUAUCAGCUUGUUGGUGGGGUAGUGGCUUACCAAGGCUUUGACGGGUAGCCGGCCUGAGAGGGUGACCGGCUCCAUUGGGACGGAGAUACGACACAGACUCCUACGGGAGGCAGGACUGGAGUAUAGUGCACAAUGGGCGGAAGCAUGAUGCAGCAAAGCCGCGUGCGGGAUGACGGCCUUCCGGUAGGAAACCGCUUUCGCCCGUGACGAAGCGUGAGUGACGGUAAUGGGUAAAGAAGCACCGGCUAACUACGUG
rnacentral:rRNA from 1 species